UACGAAGGGUGCUAGCGUUAUUCGGAUUUAUUGGGCGUAAAGGGUGUGUAGACGGCGUAUUAAGUCAACUGUUAAAUUCUCCGGCCUAACUGGGGGUCAGCGGUAGAAACUGAUAUGCUAGAGGAUGAAAGAGAGAAGUGGAAUUCUCGGAGUAGCGGUAAAAUGCGUAGAUCUCGAGAGGAACACCGAUGGCGAAGGCAGCUUCUUGGUUCAUUCCUGACGUUGAGACACGAAAGCGUGGGGAGCAAACAGG
rnacentral:rRNA from 1 species